UACAGGGGGGGGCAAGCGUUGUUCGGAAUUACUGGGCGUAAAGGGUCUGUAGGUGGCCAACUAAGUCAGACGUGAAAUCCCUCAGCUUAACUGGGGAACUGCGUCUGAUACUGGAUGCUCGAGUGUGGGAGAGGAAUGCGGAAUUCCAGGUGUAGCGGUGAAAUGCGUAGAUAUCUGGAGGAACACCGGUGGCGAAGGCGGCAUUCUGGACCAUAACUGACACUGAGAGACGAAAGCCAGGGGAGCAACGGG
rnacentral:rRNA from 1 species